rnacentral:rRNA from 1 species
GAUGAACGCUGGCGGCGUGCUUAACACAUGCAAGUCGAACGAAGCACUUUACUUGAUCUUUUCGGAGUGAUUGUUUUGUGACUGAGUGGCGGACGGGUGAGUAACGCGUGGGUAACCUGCCUCACACAGGGGGAUAACAGUUGGAAACGGCGGCUAAUACCGCAUAAGUGCACAGUACCGCAUGGUACGGUGUGAAAAACUCCGGUGGUGUGAGAUGGACCCGCGUCUGAUUAGCUAGUUGGCAGGGCAGCGGCCUACCAAGGCGACGAUCAGUAGCCGACCUGAGAGGGUGACCGGCCACAUUGGGACUGAGACACGGCCCAAACUCCUACGGGAGGCAGCAGUGGGGAAUAUUGCACAAUGGGGGAAACCCUGAUGCAGCGACGCCGCGUGAGCGAAGAAGUAUUUCGGUAUGUAAAGCUCUAUCAGCAGGGAAGAAGAAAUGACGGUACCUGACUAAGAAGCACCGGCUAAAUACGUGCCAGCCGCCGCGGUAA